rfam:Triticum aestivum genome assembly, contig: Triticum_aestivum_CS42_TGACv1_scaffold_472346_6AL
GUAGUAUUUCCUCCGUCCGAAAAUACUUUCAUCAAAAUGAAUAAAAAGACAUCUAUGCAGAAUUAAAAAUACAUCUAGAUACAUUCCUUUCUAUCCAUUUUGAUGACAAAUAUUUUCGGAUGGAGGAAGUACUAC